AUUUCUCUCAGCCAGAAUUUAAUUGCUCAGAAAACUGAAUUUCAGUAAAGUAGAUGAAAAGUGGUAGGCAGAGAGACUCAGACCUAUGACUGCUGAAGAAAGAGCUAAUUCCAUGUCCCUUUUUCUAGAUGCCCUGUAAUACACUUGUGUCAGUGAUAAAUGCUGCUUUGCUGUGCUACACCGAGUACAAGGUAGUGAUAAGACAUGACUGGGAAGCAGUUACCAGAGACAAGCAAGGAUAGGGCUUUGAAUGCAUCCUCUGCUGGUGGCUUCUGUAGUUAUGCAUAAAAUUUACUCUGACCUGUUUACUUUUAUAGCCUGUCUUUACUUUGUUUCUUUUAAUAUUAUACAUGUUUAGGCUAUGCUUUUUCUUUAAAUAUGUGAGCAAAUCUAUUGGUGUAAUGUACUCAUUACCCUAAAACCUAUAUUAUAAUGGACCCGAAUACCAUAAGGUAGAAGAUCAGAAGAAAAAGAAAAUGCAUACAUUUUUAUCUUUAAAACAAUUCACUUUUAAGAUUAUUUUCUUGAAAGGUAUACGUUUGAUGGAGCUGAAUCUAGUUCCUUCAGGCAGAUAUAAUAGGAUACAAUAGGAUAGGACUUCUUGGGUAAAAAAGGUGUAGUAAUCUGUGAGACUCAUGGGAAGGAGAAAGGAAAUUAUUAAUUAAUUUGGCUGAGGCCAGGGUAGUAAGCAGAUUCAUUAUAAAUUCUGGCAGCAGAGGAAUACUUGAGAAAUGCUUAUAAAGUUAGAUCAUCUAUUUUUCCAAGCAAAUUCUUCAUGUCAUUCCACCUUGUAAAAACUUUGUGGAAAAGAAUAAGCACAUGAAUGAGCAAUGAAUAGACUUUGCAUUAGAUUGGUAAUCUUGCUACUAGUACAUUAAUUUACUUGUAUUACUGAUAUUUUAAGAUAGGAUUUUUACAGAUGUUUAUAUAUUUUUUAAAAGCCUAUUUUUUUCUUUACCCAUUUUCUCAAUUUUUUUAACCUCGAAAACUUUUUCCUCCCUGAGAGAAAUACAUGGGCUAUCUUCAGCAUAGAACACAAACUCUGCCUUCUUUUCUCAAGUCCAGUGAUUCAAGUUUGACACACCACACCACGGUGGAUGUGCCUUGUCAUGACACAUCUCAGCAGCACUAGAAGAUACAUCCAAAGUCCUGUGAGCAAGGUCUGUGGUAUCUGUUUAUUAUGGCAGCCCAGUAAGACUAAGACAGGCCAUCACAAGACGUGAACGUUUUGGACCUUCUCUUGGGCCCUAGUAAACAGAAAUCAGAAGGAAGAAAACUUUGCUAAUGCUCUGCCAAGCCUCACUUUUCUCUCAUGAUUAGAAGGUUUGAUGUUAUCCAGAAUUACUCAUGGAAGAUGGAAGAGCUGCAGCAUUACAAUGAAAGCCAUCUUACAACAGCCUGAGUAUCUUUUUUUUACCUGAGUCAGGAGCAAAAAAUAUUCAUGUAUAUUCCCUAAAAGGACAAAAAAGGAUCCAAUGAAAGGGCUAGGUUGUAGAAAGGUAGCAUUUUAUUGCUAAAUGACAACUAAAAUCACUCUGUAUGCCUUGUAUUGUAAAAGAGAAAAUUAAGACCCAGAAUAAGAUCAAGAGUUUUUCAUUGAUCGUUAUGAUAUUAAAGAAGUUUUGAAAUACGUGGCUAGCUUUCUCACAUCUAUGUGCUGAUUAGACCUCAGCCAAAGACUUCAGGGGAGCCCUCUGCAAGUUUCUAGAGUUCUUUGUGCAACUUUUUCUCUUGGGUUCUCUGACUUGCAAACUCAAACCGCCAGGCUUUUCUUAGACUCAGCUCUGCCUCCUCAUCUCAGAGAGACCCUACAAUGGGGCCUGGGAACCCUCCAGGCUCUGAGCUGGACAAUGGAGCUCACCUCCAUUUUGUUUGUUUCCUCUCUCUUGGCAAUCACUCUUCUGUGCUACUGAUGCCCAGUGUCUGAAAUUCAUUUUUUUCAUACCUUUUGUUUGUUUGCUUGGUGUCAUUUCCUGCAGGAGGGUAAAUCUGGCUGGCUCCUGUUGUUCCAUCUGUCCUCCAGCAGCUUCCCAUACAGGCAGCUCACUUCACUUCAUUUUCAAUUUUAAUGACUUCUGUUCUUUAUUAUGCCUUUUGUCUACUUUUUUUUUUUGAUUAUUCUUCUUGUUCUUUUUCUAAGUUCUUGAGUUCAUAUUUAGUUAGCUUUUAGUCUUUGUAAGUCAAUUGCUGAAUGUUUUGAAGUUUUCACUUUGUGUUACUUUAUAUUUUUUAGGCUAUUUAUUAAACUAAUCCACGUUCUGAACAGUUAUUGCUACUGGAAACCAGUCCCGAUCCAGACCACAAAAGACGAUUCUUGGAUCUUGCACAAGAAAGAAAGGGAAGAUCUGGCAAGAGUUAGCGUGCAGUUCUACAUUGUGACAAUUCAUGAGAGCUAAGGACUGGCUGUCUCUUGGGACAAAUAGGCUUUCUUGAGUCUGCAUGAGGCCCUCACCAGAUACAGCCACCUGAUCUUGGACUUCACAGCCUCCAGAAAUAUGCCCUGGAAUACACUUGUGUCAGUGACAAAUGCUGCUUUGCUGUGCUACAUCGAGUACAAGAAAUACAUGGGCUAUCUUCAGCACAGAACACAAACUCUGCCUUCUUUUCUCAAGUCCAGUGAUUCAAGUUUGACACACCACACCACGGUGGAUGUGCCUUGUCAUGACACAUCUUCUCAGCAGCACUAGAAGAUACAUCCAAAGUCCUGUGAGCAAGGACACAGCGAGAAGAUGGCUGUCUACAAGCCAGGAAGAGAGUCCUCACCAGAACCAAACCCUGCUGGACUUUGAUCUUGGACUUCCCAGCCUCUAAAACUGUGAAGACAUAAAUUUCUGUUGUUAAACCCACACAGGUCUGUGGUAUCUGUUUAUUAUGGCAGCCCAGUAAGACUAAGACAGGCCAUCACAAGACAUGAAUGUUUUGGACCUUCUCUUGGGCCCUAGUAAACAGAAAUCAGGUACGCAAAAGGGGUAAGCAUAUAAUUUCCUUUAUUUUUAUUUUUAAUGUGUAAGCCUUAGGUUUUUAUUUAUUUAUUUGGUGAAGACAAUCACAUUGUGUACGUACAAUGUAAUUAUAUUGUUGACGAGAAGUUACUUAAAAUUUUUUAAAAAUUCUAAUCGAUUUCUAGAUGUCCAAAUGAGAAGAUAGCAUUUAUAUACCAUCAGAACAUAAAAUAAUUCAAAAAAAUAAAUUUAUAAAACAAUAUGUAUUAUAUUGAGAGAAAGAGAGGGAGAGAGUAUUGGAAGAAUAUAUGCAAAUACAAUGUGAUAAUGUGAUGUCUUUGUGAGAAUGCUAUAUGUCAUUUUCUUUGUUUAUAUGAAUUUUUACAAUUUUUACCUUUGAAAUAUAAAAAAGAGAGAAUAAAAGUCAUUGAAAAAAUCAAAAGUAACUAUUUUCAUAGGUGAGUAAGUAUACAUCUUUAACAGAAC
rnacentral:lncRNA from 1 species